GACAGAGGGUGCAAACGUUGUUCGGAAUUACUGGGCGUAAAGCGUGUGUAGGCGGUCCACUAAGUCGGAUGUGAAAGCCCUGGGCUCAACCCAGGAAGUGCACUCGAAACUGGCGGGCUAGAGUUCUGGAGGGGGUAGCGGAAUUCCUGGUGUAGCGGUGAAAUGCGUAGAUAUCAGGAGGAACACCGGUGGCGAAGGCGGCUACCUGGACAGAAACUGACGCUGAGGCGCGAAAGCUAGGGGAGCAAACAGG
rnacentral:rRNA from 1 species